rnacentral:misc_RNA from 1 species
UACAGAGACCUCAAGCGUUAUCCGGAUUUACUGGGCGUAAAGCGUCCGCAGCCUGUUUGACUAGUCGGGUGUUAAAUUUCAGGGCUCAACUCUGAAACCGCAUUCGAAACGGUCAAACUAGAGGCCGGGAGAGGCAGAUGGAACUACCGGUGUAGUAGUAAAAUGCGUUAAUAUCGGUAGGAACACCAAAGGCGAAGGCAUUCUGCUGGAACGGCCCUGACGGUCAGGGACGAAAGCGUGGGGAGCGAAGCGG